AUAAAUUUGAUUAUGGUUAGAUGUCGAGUUAAAAUAGUGUUAUUUAAUUUUAAUUCACUGAGUGGACAAUAGUAUUUUAUCCCGGUAAUUUAUUGCUCGUAUAAACCUUGUACCAGAAUAAUCGGAUAGACUAGGUGAGCUUAUACUCUAAAUGUGUUUCAAUUAUAAUUUAUAUUAUUAAAAUUUUUAGUUUUUAUUUGGUGGAAUAAGUAAAAUUUUUGGGUUUUUUUUGUAGUUGAUAAGAUUAGAUAUUCGACUUAGAUUAGUACCUAAUUAGUCUAAAUUAAGAAGUUUUCAGGAGUAAAGUAAUAUUUAAACUGUAAGAAUAUUGGCAGAUUUUUUAAUUAUCUUUGGAGGUUGAGUAGUAAUUGAGAACCCUCAUUAUUAGCUGUAUCUUUUGGCGCAUGUAUGAUCGUUUAUUUUACUCUUAAAGGGUAAUAGAAAAGUUUUUAAACUAUUAAAACAGAUAAAUACCUGGUUUAUGAUAUAGUUUUUAAUUUGACCUACAUUAUCUUAUGAUGUGGAUUAUUCGAAGAAAUUUGUUUAUGAAAAUGUAAAAGACAGUAAAUAGCUUUUAAUGGGUUGUUGAAGAUUAUCAAAAAAUGGUACAAAUCAUCCAUCAAUUGUCCAAAGGAGAGUAAGUUGUAGUAUAGUAGGUGUAAGGGAACUUGUACCUAGUAAUAA
rnacentral:ncRNA from 1 species